UCUAAUUAAAACACAUUCUUCGUUCUUUUAGCAGAGAAAAAUGGUAUAAACUAAAGUAGAUCUCUGCUCUUAGGAUUCUAAGAUAUGCAAAUAGUUUUUCCACUUAAGAUCUCUGCAUAGACUUGGUCAGCACAAAUUACUAAAGCAUUCUGUGCGCCUUGGAGAGAGACAAUAAGACAGUGAAAGCAGAUGAAAGAGUUUCAAGCUCUUGUUUGAAGGACUGCAAGGCUGCAUGAGUGUCUGAACCAUAGAAGACUAGGGAAGA
rnacentral:lncRNA from 1 species